rnacentral:tRNA from 1 species
GGCACCGUGGCUGAGUUGUAAAGCGCUUGGCUUCCGAACCGAGGGGUGCUGGGUUCGAAUCCUGGCGAAGACU